rnacentral:misc_RNA from 1 species
CCAAAAAAAAAACAAAAUUAAUUUAGCAGCACACUAGUGAUAUGGAAUUCUCUCUUUGCAAAUAAAAAAAAAGAGAGGAAUCCACAUCUAUUUUAAUGAUUCAAGACUUAAUUAUCCUAACUUUAGACACAUAUUACUAUACUUUGAAUUAAGUUAAUCAAAUACGAAAAUGUGACAAGUUAGUAAGAGAAGGAAGGAAAAGGGGAAGGGAGGAGACCUAGCUAAAAUGACAUGGAGGGAAGUAGAAUAAAAGUAUUUGCAAACUUUGAAUAUUAAUGUGGAUUUUGUGUUCAAUGGAGCUGAAUGACAAAAAAGGAUUUAUAUACCAAACUCAACUAAUUUAGGAUUAAAGCUUAGUUGUUAUUGUUAUGUUGAAAUUUUGAAUUAGAUUCUCCAUUUAUUGGAGUUCCUAAAAUGGUUAAAGAUCCAAUUCACAUGGAAGAAACUAAUUUUGUUUAUUUUAAUUUUCAAGGUGCAUCAAGUAUUAGAUUAUUUAAAACUUUGUUGUUUCAUGCUUGCAGGU